GCGGUUCUUAAAAGACCAAGCCGAGCCCAUUCCAUUCACCGGAGAUGUAUCUCUCUCGGCAGUCGAUUCGCCGGAGCUAUUGCCUCUUCCUUUCCGCUCCAUCACCAUCAAUUCGAUCGUCCACCAUCUCCGAUCAGUUACGGCCGCCGUCAAAUCUCCCUCGCUGGCCACCACAGCCUCUGCCGAGAAUUCACAACGACAACGACAACGACAACGACAACACACUCUCUGAAGCUUGGUGCGCGCGUGAGAGCCAGAGGAACCGAGCGAAGCAAGAACGCACGCACCGACCGAGCGAAUCAUACGAUUGUUCUGUAUUGCCUUUUGCCGAAAGCUACAAAUUGUUAUCUCAGUUGUCUAUUAUUUGCUCUCAGAUUCGCCGAUUCCUCUCUAGCAAUUUUUAGCUGGGUUUCUCAUGUUAUAUUCCCUCGCCAGUUGAUAGGAAUUCCCGUUUGGAUAACUCCUCAUCGUUCAUGCUCACCACCUGUUCAACGUUUUGCCUCAGAGAUGACGAUGAUGAAUUAAUCGAUCAAUUUGAGAUUGCGUAGGAGUGAUUUGUAUGUUAUUGUUCAAUGUACUGAUCAUAUAUUGCGAAUUGAUGCUUCAUCUGAUGGCGAAGAGUACUCAAUCCCUUGGUGUUUCCGUCUACUUUGUUCUCUGUGAAUUAAAUACUACUUUGGGAGCGUGGCUGAAUUGUCCUCUAAACUGAGAGCCUCUGGAUUUAUUUUCGAGCUUGAGGUGUUCAAAGCACAUGUAUCAUAAUCGUCAAGGUGUUAAUGUAGAGAAAUCCUCUGUAACCGUACAUUGUUCAUCUGUUGGAGUUGUAGUUUUUCUUUCGCAUA